rnacentral:rRNA from 1 species
UACGGAGGGGGCUAGCGUUGUUCGGAAUUACUGGGCGUAAAGCGCGCGUAGGCGGCUUUGUAAGUUAGAGGUGAAAGCCCAGGGCUCAACCCUGGAAUUGCCUUUAAGACUGCAUCGCUUGAACAUCGGAGAGGUAAGUGGAAUUCCGAGUGUAGAGGUGAAAUUCGUAGAUAUUCGGAAGAACACCAGUGGCGAAGGCGACUUACUGGACGAUUGUUGACGCUGAGGUGCGAAGGCGUGGGGAGCAAACAGG